CCCACUCCCCGUCCCCUCCUCCUUCCUCCUUCGGUCCUGCCUUACCGCGAACUCCUCCACCUUUGCCGACCCGUCGCCGAGGAUCCGAGCCACCGCAACACGCUAGCCUCUCCAUCCUACCUCCGCCAACUGUCCCGACCCCCUCCAUUAUCAACCGCCGCCGCGCCGCCCAGAUCCGAGCAGCUGCACGCAACUACCUGCACUCCUUCCCUGGCGCUACCGAUCCGGACGAACGACAGCGUCACCCCGCGCCAGAUCAGCGCCAUACCAUGCAGGAUUCGCACCCCAACAUCAUAUCCCGUGAGAUCGGUUUCUCUUCUCGGACAUGGCGGCCUUCCGCACCCCAGGGCAUGGAUCGCCUAUACGCCUAGCGGGGGCAAUGUGUUGGGGUGGUAGGAGCCUAUCGACAGAGGGGAACCACGGCCGCCGACAUCGCCGGAAUGGCUCCGCUUCUCGUACACCAAUGGGACGGGGUAACCAGCAAGUAGAGGGAGCAGAGAGGUGUUGGAGUGCUGGCAACCAGCAAGCGAAAGAGUUGAGGGGGCAACACCGUCAGUGCGCCGCGACCACCUAGCGGGGAGGAACUAGAGCAGGGAAAGCGAUGUCCGCAGUAGUCGAGGAAUUGGGCCGCAAAUCGCCGUCCAACGGACAAAAUUCUCAAACUAUAUGAAGUCAACCUUUUCAGCAUAUACUUCCAGAAAAAGAGCUGGAGCUGGAGAGGCCGUACAGGAGGGGAGGGGAGAAAACUCACGUUCAAAUGUUGGAGGAAUCGUCAGGGAGGUGCUGGGUGGUGGGCCUGCAAUGGAUGGGGUCUCAUGCCGGUUUGGGCGGUUACGAUCGGGGGGCAGGAAAAGAUGCUGCGCCAUGUGCGUUGGGAGGCUAGGACCAUUUCUUUCCUUUUUUCGUAUAACAACUGACAACGGGGGAAUAAUUACUAUAUUUAGGUGUGUGAUCUAGAGUGCUAGUCAGCCAACGUUUGCUGGCUAGACACGUCCCAUUAAAAUAUAUCCAACUUGGGUCUAAUCUUGAAGAUCUCAACGGAACAAAUACAACAGUAAAAGCACAUUGCACUUUGGAGGCUCCA